UGGGGAAUUUUGGACAAUGGGCGCAAGCCUGAUCCAGCAAUGCCGCGUGCAGGAAGAAGGCCUUCGGGUUGUAAACUGCUUUUGUACGGAACGAAACGGUAGCCUCUAAUACAGGCUGCUAAUGACGGUACCGUAAAAAUAAGCACCGGCUAACUACGUGCCAGCAGCCGGGGGGUAAUACAAA
rnacentral:rRNA from 1 species